UGUUCACCCGUGGUUCUUGUGUUGCCUACCCGUUUAGCGGUAUUCAUGUGCCUCUUAAGACCCGUUCAAUCCAGACCCCUUCUAGGGAGUGCUGGUGAGUUCGAAAGUGAUGCAUGUUUUGCGUUAGCUGUGCAUUGCAACGGUUGGCGUGCUAACAUGUGUCUAUUGUUCCCUCGGAUGCGGUGCAUGCGGUGAACGUGGGCUGACGAUUGUGCCCCGUUGAGUCCCUUUUAAUUAUCGGUUGCCUUGAAUGACACUUUGUCGUAGUGCUAGUGUUGCUUUACCAUUCGUGGUGUCAACACUAGUAUGUCGAGCAGAGUCGUUGAUGGAUGCUACCUGGUUGAUCCUGCCAGUAGUCAUAUGCU
rnacentral:misc_RNA from 1 species